rnacentral:rRNA from 1 species
GAUGAACGCUGGCGGCGUGCCUAAUACAUGCAAGUCGAGCGAACAGACGAGGAGCUUGCUCCUCCGACGUUAGCGGCGGACGGGUGAGUAACACGAGGAUAACCUACCUAUAAGACAGGGAAAACCUCGGGAAACCGGAGCUAAUACCGGCCAAUAUAUUUACCCGCAGGCACCAUUAGAAAAAGACGGAUUAGCGGUCACUCAUAGACGGAUAGGCGCCGCAUUGCCUAGUUGGUAAGGUAACGGCUUAUCAAGGCGAAGAUGCGUAGCCGACCUGAGAGGGUGGUCGGCCACACUGGAACUGAGACGCAGUCCAGACUCCUACGGGAGGCCGCGGUAGGGACUCUUCCGCAAUGGGCGAAUGCCUGACGGAGCAACGCCGCGUGAGUGAUGAAGGUCUUCGGAUCGUAGAACUCUGUUAUUAGUGAAGAACAAAUGUGUAAGUAACUAUGCACGUCUUGACGGUACCUAAUCAGAAAGCCACGGCUAACUACGUG